rnacentral:rRNA from 1 species
GCGUGGAUGAAGAAGGCCUUAGGGUUGUAAAAUCCUUUCACCGCUGACGAUAAUGACGGUAAGCGGAGAAGAAGCCCCGGCUAAUUUCGUGCCAGCAGCCGCGGUAAUACGAAAGGGGCUAGCGUUGUUCGGAAUUACUGGGCGUAAAGCGCACGUAGGCGGCCUUGUAAGAUGGGGGUGAAAUCCCCGGGCUCAACCCGGGAACUGCCCUCAUGACUGCAAAGCUAGAGGACGCGAGAGGUUAGCGGAAUUCCGAGUGUAGAGGUGAAAUUCGU